rnacentral:rRNA from 1 species
UACGUAGGCAGCAAGCGUUGUUCGGAGUUACUGGGCGUAAAGGGUGCGUAGGCGGCCAUAAAAGUAUGGUGUGAAAUCUCCCGGCUUAACUGGGAGGGUGCGCUAUAAACUGCAUGGCUAGAGUGUGGGAGAGGAAAGUGGAAUUCCUGGUGUAGCGGUGAAAUGCGCAGAUAUCAGGAAGAACACCCGUGGCUAAGGCGGCUCUCUAGUACGGUACUGACGCUGAGACGCGAAAGCGUGGGGAGCGAACAGG